GUGCACCAGGCGAGAAUUUUUCUCAAUGGGCGAAAGCCUGAAGGAGCGACGCCGCGUGGGGGAUGAAUGGCUUCGGCCCGUAAACCCCUGUCAUUUGUGAACAAAUUGUUUCACCUAACACAUGAAGCAUUGAUAGUAACGGAAGAGGAAGGGACGGCUAACUCUGUGCCAGCAGCCGCGGUAAUACAGAGGUCCCAAGCGUUGUUCGGAUUCACUGGGCGUAAAGGGUGCGUAGGCGGUUGGGUAAGUCUGACGUGAAAUCUCCGGGCCUAACCCGGAAACUGCGUUGGAUACUAUCCGGCUAGAGGAAUGGAGGGGAGACUGGAAUACUUGGUGUAGCAGUGAAAUGCGUAGAUAUCAAGUGGAACACCAGUGGCGAAGGCGAGUCUCUGGACAUUUCCUGACGCUGAGGCACGAAAGCCAGGGGAGCAAACGGGAUUAGAUACCCCUGUAGU
rnacentral:rRNA from 1 species